UACGUAGGUGGCAAGCGUUGUCCAGAUUUAUUGGGCGUAAAGCGCGUGUAGGCGGUCCGAUUAGUCGGCUGUGAAAGUCAAGGGCUCAACCCUUGAAUGCCGGUCGAUACUGUCGGACUAGAGUCCGGAAGAGGCAAGUGGAAUUCCCGGUGUAGCGGUGGAAUGCGCAGAUAUCGGGGGGAAUACCAGUGGCGAAAGCGGCACCCUGGCGUCGUACUGACGCUCAUGUGCGAAAGCGUGGGGAGCGAACGGG
rnacentral:rRNA from 1 species